UGGUCAUCCUGCUCACAGCAGAGAUAGCAUCUUUUGGUACACCUGCAAACAGCCCUUCCAAAAGCACAGCAGAUCUGUGAAGGGCUGAAAUAUCAUCCAGGCCUCUAUGAAGCCAAUCAGCACAAUGCUUAUUAGGCACAAAAGAGAAGAUGUGAUCUAUUUUUAAUUAAGCCAUCUUUGAACAAUGCAACAUAAAGAACCUGGCUUUUGAAUUGCAAGGCAAUCAGUGAAUGGAUGUUCCGGCCUCUUCUGGGGAAUUAAGUUAUGCAUACUGCAUGAAAAUAGGACCACAGGCUGGGCCCCUACAAGCUGCUAAUUGAAAACCUUGUCAGAAGUAGGAGGAAGUGGCAAGAAACUUGGCAGGCCCUCCUGCUUUUCAUGCUGUACUUAGCUCUUGGUACUUAUGAAUGGCAGCUCUGCAGCACUUUGCAGAGGUUUACAAGUUGUGCCAGUGCUGUCUCUGCAAUUAUAGAACAACACCUUCUUCCCUGUGAGCUGAAAAAGAGAAAAGAGCAUUUAUAUUCAGAAAGCCACAUCCUGUGUUUUUCAUCCAGAUACCUAGAGGAAGACUACCUGGCAUGUGCUUUCCAAAACUCCUUGCAAGAGGAAGUAAAGCAAAGCUAUGCUCCAGAUGCUGCAUUACUAGGAAUCCAUAUGGGAGAAACCCUAACACAAAAACAGCCACCUGCAUACCUGGACCCUCAUCUGACUACAACUGGGAAAGAGCUUUGGGGUAAAUCAGAAUCUGACCUGUAUUGUAAAAACAGUGGCAUUACAUCCACUGCUGUGCCCUGGGAUGCUUCCUGGGGUUCAGCCUCAUUGUGAGGAGGAUAAUGUGUGAAAGAAUGGGAAUGAUUUUAGCUACUUGCAGGAAGUCCAGUCCCACUGUGACACCAGAUUGCACCAUGAACUAUCAGCAUAUGAAGCCCUGCAACGUGAGCAAACAGCUGGGUACAUCAUUUUCUGGAGUGGAAAGGCCAGUGUUGAACAAAAUAGACUCUCAGGACUUAAGGAUCCCAGACCUGUAGAAGGCAGACACAGAAGGAGGGAAAAUUCAGGAGCAGUAAAUUUGUGUUCCAAAUAAAACUUCCCUGCUUGUGCCCACAAAACAAUAUCUGAAUAUUUUUUUCAUUUGAGGCACUCAAGAAUGUGAUUCUGAAGUAAUUUACCAGAGAAUUAUGUCAUUUUAUGGGAAUUCUCAUCAGUACAUAUUUACUGUGAGAAUACAUUCACUAAAGGGCAGAAACACACUGUCAUCAAAGGGAUACAGUAAAGGUAGGCAGCUAUUCCCAGAGCAGACUCUGUGGUAGGGUGUGAAUCACUAAAGUGAGUGACAAACUUCCCACUGGUUUCAAAAAGGAUCAGACAUCACCUCUAAUUCUUUACUCUUCUGCCUCUUUUUUUGUUACUU